CACUCUGGAGAAGCUUCUAACGAUUCGUUGAGAAGUGCCGAAGGUGCAAGGAACAGAAAAAUUCCAAAACUCUCAGGCAAAAGGACGGAGAUA
rnacentral:ncRNA from 1 species